rnacentral:rRNA from 1 species
AUUGAACGCUGACGGCAUGCUUAACACAUGCAGGUCGAACGGCAGCACAGUACGUAGCAAUACGUAUGGGUGGCGAGUGGCGGACGGGUGAGUAACGCGUAGGAAUCUGCCUUGAAGCGGGGGACAACCCGAGGAAACUCGGGCUAAUACCGCAUAAUAUCGAGAGAUUAAAGCUGGGGCAACCUGGCACUUCAAGAGGAGCCUGCGUACGAUUAGCUAGUUGGUAGGGUAAAGGCCUACCAAGGCGAUGAUCGUUAACUGGUCUGAGAGGAUGAUCAGUCACACUGGAACUGAGACACGGUCCAGACUCCUACGGGAGGCAGCAGUGGGGAAUAUUGGACAAUGGGGGCAACCCUGAUCCAGCAAUGCCGCGUGUGUGAAGAAGGCCUUCGGGUUGUAAAGCACUUUUGGCAGGGAGGAAGAUGUGGAGUUUAAGAGACACUACAUUUGACUGUACCUGCAGAAUAAGCACCGGCUAACUCUGUGCCAGCCGCCGCAGUAA